CUGCACCGAUCAUUUCUUGAUGCGGAAGCUCAUAUCUGGUAUGAGUAAGGGCAAGCGCAACUCUGACACUCGCAAACCUAUUACAGUCUGUUAUGUGUAUGGGUGUAUGCUUUUAUAUGUUUGUUAGUAUAUCAGAUGCAUUUAGACUUGAAUUGAAACAAGAAGGCUUGGGUUGCGUAACUUUGCUUGAAUACUACACCUGGGGAGCUGGCUGCCUGAGCGGGUUAAGUAAUUAUGUAACAAGUGAAGCUUGUAGCUAAUCAGCAUUAUAGUAUAAGGUUGGGGGGAUUCAAAAAUAGUUAGGUUUUUCUGCUUCUUGGGUGUUGGCCAGACCUGUAUUUUAACCUCCUCAUUUUUAAUGUUAAAGUUCAGAACACUGUGUGAGAGAUUGUAUCCCAUGUCGGGGCUUGUGAAACUGAACUAGAAAUCAUGCUGAUAUUUGCAAACGUGUGCCUUGGAAAACUUGCAGUGUGAGCUUAUGUGCAACUAUGGAUAUAUGUGUUUUCGUGGACCAAGGAGUGGAGUGAACAAUCAAACAUGGAAAUCAGGGUCAAGUUACCGGGGCCCAGUGCUUCCUGGCAGAGAGCCGGUCUGGCUGGAUUUCCAAUUACUUGUGGAUGGCUCGCAGUGGGAUGUUGUGGCAAGACUGGCCAGCAUCCCAGGGCCAUACUUAUACAUCUGGGCUCAAACGAUAUUUGCAAGUGGAAGGCCAGCCAGCUGUACCUAGACAUUCACCUUGCUAUGUUGAGGCUGCAUCUGUUAAUGCCUCAGACCACCAUCCUUUGGUCCGACAUGCAUGAUGCUGCCAAGGAGGCACUGGCAUGGAGCCAAUUGCUAUGAUGCUGUGGAGAUGGCCAGGGAGAAGGUCAACAGACGGUUGGACAACUGGGUCAGGGAGCUUGGUUGGGUGCACAUUCAGCAUCCCAAGGUUUGUGCUGGGGACAGUUCCCUGUAUGUCUGGAACAGGGUGCACCUCUCAGUCAAAGGACUGCAAAUCUUGAUAAGCUCAAUCCGCGAAGAACUGAUGCCAAAUGUAGGUAGCAGGUAAACAAGCAAGUGACACUAAAUUCUUUCUUCUGUGGCUAGUUAGGGGGUCCC